rnacentral:rRNA from 1 species
AUCCUGGCUCAGGAUGAACGCUAGCGGCAGGCUUAAUACAUGCAAGUCGUGGGGCAGCAUGAGUAGCAAUACUUGAUGGCGACCGGCAAACGGGUGAGGAACACGUACACAACCUUCCUUCAAGCGGGGAAUAGCCCAGAGAAAUUUGGAUUAAUACCCAUAAUAUAUUUGAUAAGGCAUCUUUUAAUAUUAAAGCUUCGGCACUUGAUGAUGGGUGUGCGGCUGAUUAGAUAGUUGGCGGGGUAACGGCCCACCAAGUCUACGAUCAGUAGCUGAUGUGAGAGCAUGAUCAGCCACACGGGCACUGAGACACGGGCCCGACUCCUACGGGAGGCAGCAGUAAGGAAUAUUGGACAAUGGACGAAAGUCUGAUCCAGCCAUGCCGCGUGAAGGAUUAAGGUCCUCUGGAUUGUAAACUUCUUUUAUAUGGGACGAAAAAAGGGCAUUCUUGUUCACUUGACGGUACCAUAUGAAUAAGCACCGGCUAACUCCGUG